GACUCCAGCAGCCAGGCGUGGCGCCGACCGGCAUCUCUGGGGCCGUCCCUCAUCGGCAGAGGAAAACGUUCGGCAAAGACGAGUAGGAAAAUAACUUUUCGAGCCCUAGGGAGCAGCUUGCCCUCCUUCUAUAAAAGGCAUUUGUGCUGUCCUGCACGUUCAUUGGGUUUGGAAGUUGACUGCUGAGGGUGUUUCACUGAUACCAGUGUAAAGUGUUAUGACUCCAUGGACAACGUUUGUCCUCUCCUGUACGUCCCGGCUGUGUCCUCACACACCUGAGAGCUGCUGAACCAGGUCAUCUAAAGGGUCUCGUUAUCACAAUAUCAGACCACUUCCUAUGCUGGAACAUUGUGAUCCUUAUGACAUCCCUGCAGCAGGACGUGGAGACCUCAGGCACAAGGAGCAGAGUACUUGCAGUGGGUCAUCCCACAGCAGCAACUAAACAUCUUGUAGUGCUGAGAGGAAUCUGGCCCUGCAGACAUUUACCUGUGACUCUCCUCGUUGUCUUUAUUUUUCUUGAUGCAAGCUGAUGUACAGACAGAGUCCUACCAUCUGUGCUACAACGGUUGGAGGCCCAAGAUUGACUAUGUUUUGGUACCAAGUCCUUCCAUCAUCAGCGUCCACAUAUUAAAGGUAAUGUCUUUUAGUGCAUGCUCAUAAGAAAGUUUGGUUCUGUUUGCUAUGACUGAUGAUAGCUGUGCGCCUUCGUUUUUGGGUACUGCAGCCCUCGAAAAGACAGUUUUUUAAUGUCUGCCACACAUCCAUGUCUCAGCUUUGCUGGCGUGAAACCAGGAAAGAUGGCACAUUUCGUUUCCUGUUAUCUCCAAUCAGUGCAGGGAGCUCACACCGCUGCUCACUUCAGCUUUGCUGAGAUGUGGAUGUUUUGGAUUUUUGGGGAGUCCACGCUUAUGGUGCGUGAUCAGUGCAGCUUAAGGGUGUAAAGGUGCAAAGUGAGGCCCGUGACAGCUUGAAGGAUUGCGUGGGCUCCACCAGGCAGACCCUAUCUGAGCGCAAGAAAAAAGUAGUGUUGAUAGACAACUUUCAUAAGUUGCUUUGUCGAGUGUUAGCUUCACUUCACAGCACAUUGUCACAUGCUAGCGCUGACACUUGUGGCAUGCCUUGCUGGCACAGUAUGGCAUGUCUUUUGUUCUGGUGUCUUUUUCCCACUAAAUCUCUGAUUUACAACCUGCAGUCAUCAGGCUUUGCUCUUGUUGUAUAGGUGAGAGGAGUCUUUGUUGCAUAGCAUGUACUGGCAGAGCAGUGCAGCCGGCACAGUUAAAGAACUGUCAAGGAUAGAGCAUAGGAACCCUCUAAAUGUAACGAUAUUUCUGUGCUAUGAAGUGCUUCCUGCUGCUGGACUUCUAAUAUCCAAAUUCUUCCAUUUAUUCAGAAAUCGUGGCAGUGUGUGUUACUCUGAGAGCAAAGAGUUAGCAGAGUUAACAGUUGCUGGGGGCCAGGUGAGAUGAACACAGCUUACUUUAACAAUUUACAUUUGUUGGCCAUUUUGUGUACUAGAUGUUCUCCCAGUGGCAUGCUACCAUAGCUGGGGAGGGAAACUGUCCUCCUAGUACCACACGUAGGCAAGGGUUUUAGCUGCUAGCGUGUUAAACUGAGUGUCGGAGCUCUGUAAAUGGUUGUGGAUAGAAAAGGAAAAAAAGAGAUGUUACUCAUCAGGACUUUGACACUGUGAAAUAACAGUGGGAAACAGUGAAGAGAGUGUAAGAGCCUCAAAGCAGGAAAGAUCUCUGUGAAGUCUUCCCUUAUGAGUAACCAACAUAACCCACAGCACUUCACUGAGAGAGGGGCAGGGAGUUUAAAUCAAACACACACACAGACCUUCAUACCAACAAGCAGAAGGUUUUCCUGGGCUUUGUCAGGUGUGUGAUGAGUUUUGGGGCACCUGGAGCUAAGCAGCUCCCAGGCGUGGAGCUGGCUGUGUAGCCCCAGUGUUUUUGGGGCUGUUCUUAUGUCCCACCAUGAGCUGAUCUGACCAUUUUCCACACAGGUUAGAGGGUGUACAGUGUUUCCUAAGGUGUGUGAGAGGCUUUUAUUGUGCCUCAUGCCACCAUAUGUGGCUGACGGUCUGCCAAGGCCAAGUAGGCAGCAAGGAAAGCCAGCACUUAAAGCCCAUGGCAGAAGAGCUGCUCUCCGUUCCCUCCGAGGUAGUGUAAACCGUGGGUGUGAGCAGCACUAAUUAGUUCUCAUUAUGGGCCAGCACAGUGAGUGUCACAUGGAGGUGAUUAGCUCAAACACAAUGGACUGAAGCAGCAGAUUCCUUUGACAUUUUGGCCGGAGCAUGGCAUUUCUAGGGGCUCACUCUAGCAGUGAUUUGGCAAAUGAAAAUCAGUACUGGGGAAAGGCCCAAUGUGAGAAACACAGUAGAAAAGUUAGCACUUAGUCUCACUGGAUCUGCUGUUGCUCACAGCCCACAGAUCCUGCUGUGCUCCAUGAACUGUGACCUCCAGGGCUGGGGCAGGAGGGUCCAAAUUGUGACUGGGCAUUGGUGGCUUGGUUAGGUCAUGGGACUGCUAGCUCUGCGUGAUGGUCUUUAGGCUCCACGUCUUUGGAUGUCCAUCACACGUGUGCUUAAGCAGCCAACCCCCAACCCACUAGUGCCUAAUUUUGGGAGAUCCCUGUAGUAUGGGAGGAAACUGAAAUGUAGGUUGUGAGUUGUAUCAGAUAAGGCUGGGCUUUGACUCACUACGUAUCUGUUUGUGACUUGGGAGUCUUCCAUACCCUCAGCAUUUGCCCUCUUGGUGCCUGUACAGCUGCUCGCCCAGCCCAGCCAGCAGCUGGGUUGCUCAUCAUCUCUCAGAGCAGCUCUGCGGUAUGCAAUGGCUGUGACAACAAAGCAGACCCGAGAAUUACAGUGCUAUUUUGU